rnacentral:misc_RNA from 1 species
GAUGAAGAACGUAGCGAAAUGCGAUAAGUAAUGUGAAUUGCAGAAUUCAGUGAAUCAUCGAAUCUUUGAACGCACAUUGCGCCCUUUGGUAUUCCAAAGGGCAUGCCUGUUCGAGCGUCAUUUGUACCCUCAAGCUUUGCUUGGUGUUGGGCGUCUUGUCUCUAGCUUUGCUGGAGACUCGCCUUAAAGUAAUUGGCAGCCGGCCUACUGGUUUCGGAGCGCAGCACAAGUCGCACUCUCUAUCAGCAAAGGUCUAGCAUCCAUUAAGCCUUUUUUUCAACUUUUGACCUCGGAUCAGGUAGGGAUACCCGCUGAACUUAAGCAUAUCAUAAGCGGAGGA